AUGCAUGUCUAAGUAUAAAUUCUUGUACGAUGAAACUGCAGACGGCUCAUUACAACAGUGAUAAACUGCUAGACUUUCGGGUUUUUAACCUUUUGGAUAACCGCAGUAAAUCGGGGCUAAUACAUAGAAGCGAUGGGUGACUGGCAACGGAAGCUCAGCGAUUAUUAGCGUUACUACCAAUACCUUCGGGUCUUGUGGUGAAACCGAAUAAUAUUGCAGAUCGAGGAUUUAUCUUCGACAAGUCUACUGUGUCACUGCCCUAUCAACUUUCGAUGGUACGGUAUUGGCCUACCAUGGUUGUAACGGGUAACGGGGAAUUAGGGUUCGAUUCCGGAGAGGGAGCCUGAGAAAUGGCUACCACUUCUACGGAAGGCAGCAGGCGCGCAAAUUACUCAAUCCCAAUACGGGGAAGUAGUGACAAUAAAUAUCAAUACCUAUCCUUUUUGGAGGGCAAUUGAAAUGAACACAAAUUAAAACUCUUAAUUAACACAAUUGGAGGGCAAGUCUGGUGCCAGCAGCCGCGGUAAUUCCAGCUCCAAUAGCAUAUACUAAAGUUGUUGCAGUUAAAAAGCUCGUAGUUGAAGUUAAAGUUAUAUUGGGCUCAAGUUUUUUACCACUCUGGUGGCUAAAACAACUCCAAUAUUUCUUUUUUUAAUAGCUCAGUUUCUAGGUCUUUGACUCUAGUUAUUUGGGCAUUUCACUGUGAGAAAAUUGUGGUGUUUAAAGCAGGCGUCUCGUCUGAUCUUUUGCAGCAUGGUAUGAUGAAACAUGACAUUUUACG
rnacentral:rRNA from 1 species